UACAGAGGGUGCGAGCGUUGUCCGGAUUUAUUGGGCGUAAAGAGCUCGUAGGCGGUUCGGCAAGUCGGAUGUGAAAUCUCCACGCUCAACGUGGAGGGGCCAUCCGAUACUGCCGUGACUCGAGUCCGGUAGGGGAGUGUGGAAUUCCCGGUGUAGCGGUGAAAUGCGCAGAGAUCGGGAGGAACACCCGUAGCGAAGGCGGCACUCUGGGCCGGUACUGACGCUGAGGAGCGAAAGCGUGGGGAGCGAACAGG
rnacentral:rRNA from 1 species